rnacentral:rRNA from 1 species
GACGAACCUGACAAACGUUAUUCGGAAUUACUGGGCUUAAAGGGUGCGUAGGCGGUGCGGUAAGUCAGGUGUGAAAUCCCUCGGCUCAACCGAGGAAUAGCGCUUGAGACUGCCGUGCUUGAGGGAGAUAGAGGUGAGCGGAACCUAGGGUGGAGCGGUGAAAUGCGUUGAUAUCCUAGGGAACACCAGUGGCGAAAGCGGCUCACUGGGUCUCUUCUGACGCUGAGGCACGAAAGCUAGGGGAGCGAACGGG